rnacentral:lncRNA from 1 species
CUAAGAGGUGAAAAACAACUAAGAGAUUCUCCCAUUGAAGAGAUUCUCCUGCCUCAGCCUCUUGAGUAGCAGGGAUUACAAGCGUCCGCCACCACGCGCAAGCCCGGCUAAUGUUUGUAUUUUUAGUAGAGAUGGGGUUUCACCCUGUUGGCCUGGCAGAUCUGGAACUCCUGACCCCAGGUGAUCCGCCCGCCUCCGCCUCCCACAGUGGUGAAAUUACAGGCAUGAGCCACUGCGUUGGGCUUCAAAGCACUGUUUAAUAUCCCCUAAUUAUGCACAGAACAGCAUAACUGUAUGAUUAUAGGCCAGGAUUACUCAGUGAUACCAUUAUUUGGGCCUUGUAGAAUAGAAGAAGGUAGAAAAUUGGAUUUAAACAGAGAGCAGGAUAAUUUUGAUCUUAUAAAGUGUACAGCAUCAAAGCAGAUUGCUAGCUUGAAUUUUUAAAAUUAUUUCAUUGAUGUUAAUAUAUGAAGUGUAGGAAUUUUCAAAUGGUAAAAACGACUGAUUUGGUCAUUAAACUUUCUGAUUUUGGUCUUUACCAAAAAUAAAAAAACUCCACACUUGUUCCUGAGCCUAGUGUUCUGUGGAAUAACAAUUGUAAAUUAAGACUUUAAAUUUAGCGGCUGAAUAAGGAAAUUCUGUGUUUGUUUGUUUUUGAGACAGAGUCUUGCUCUGAAAUCCAGGCUGCCACUGAGUGUGGCGGCUCGAUCAUGGAUCACUGCAACCUUGACCUCCAAGGCUCAAGCCAUCCUCCUGCCUCAACCUCUGGAGUAGCUGGGACUGCAGCAUUUCCUCCUGUAAUGGAGUCCAGUCUUGGAUCAGAGUCUUACCCUGUUGCCCAGGCUGUAGUGCAAUGGCAUGAUCUUGGUUCACUGCAACCUCCACCUCCUAGGUUCAACUGAUUCUUGUGCCUUAGCUUCCCAAGUAGCUAGGAUGACAGGCCACAACAGAUCCUGCUGUAUGUUGUUCUCCUCCCUGCGUCCAUGUGUUCUCAUUGUUCAACUCCCACUUAUAAGUGGGAACGUGUGGUAUCUGGUUUUCUGUUCCUGUGUUAAUUUGCUGAGGAUGAUGGUUUCCAGCUUCAUCCAUGUCCCUGCAAAGAACAUGAUCUCAUUCCCUCUUAUGGCUGCAUAGUAUUCCAUCAUGUAUAUGUAUCAUGCUUUCUUUAUCCAGUCUAUUAUUGAUGGGCAUUUGGGUUGGUUCCAAGUCUUUACUAUUGUAAAUGGUGC